rnacentral:rRNA from 1 species
GGACAGCAGAGGCAAGGUGGAAUACCCGGUGUAGUGCUGAUAUGAUUAGAUAUCGAGAGGAACACCUGUGGCGAAGUCGACUUUCUGUCACGUUCCUGACGUUGACGCCGAAAGCUAGGGGAGCGAACAGGAUUAGAUAUUCCGGUAGUCCGUUCUGUAAACGAUGGAUGCUGUGUGUGGGGGGUGUAAAUUCCCUCUGUGCCGAAGCAAAACGCGUUAAGCAUCCAGCCUGAGGACUACGGCCGCAAGGAUAAAACUCAAACGAAUUGACGGGGGCCCGCACAAGCAGCGGAGCGUGUGGUUUAAUUAAUUGCUACACGAAGAACCUUACCUGGGUUUGACAUGCACGUGGUAGGGAACCGAAAGGGGACCGACCUUCGGGAGCGUGCACAGGUGCUGCAUGGCUGUCGUCAGCUCGUGCCGUGAGGUGUCGUGUUAAGUCCCGUAACGAGGGCAACCCUUGCCCUUCGUUACAAGUGUUUAAGGGGACUGCCCGGGACAAGGGGGAGGAAGGUGGGGAUGAUGUCAAGUCAGCAUGGCCUUUAUAUCCAGGGCUACACACUCGCUACAAUGGCCAGUACAAUAGGUAGCCAAGUCGUGAGACGGAGCCAAUCCCUAAAGCUGGUCUCACUUUGAAGGGCAGUUUGCAACUGCCCUGCAUGAAGCUGGACAUGCUAGUAAUUGCAGGUCAGCCAUACUGCGUAGAAUACGUUCCCGGGCAGGGUACA